GAGCUCACUUUGGCAGCACAUCUCCUAAAAUUGGAACUAUACAGAGAAGAUGACCAUGGCAUCUGCACAAUGAUACGAAAACUCAUGAAGCAUUCCACAUUUAA
rnacentral:snRNA from 1 species